rnacentral:rRNA from 1 species
UACGGAGGGUGCAAGCGUUAUCCGGAUUUAUUGGGUUUAAAGGGUGCGCAGGCGGAUUAAUAAGUCAGUGGUGAAAUCCCCCGGCUCAACCGGGGAAUUGCCGUUGAUACUGUUAGUCUAGAGUUUAGUUGAAGUAGGCGGAAUGUAGCAUGUAGCGGUGAAAUGCAUAGAUAUGCUACAGAACACCAAUUGCGAAGGCAGCUUACUAACCUAAAACUGACGCUCAGGCACGAAAGCGUGGGGAUCAAACAGG